GCCUCAGUAACGGCGAGUGAAGCGGCAACAGCUCAAAUUUGAAAUCCGACCUUCCGGUCCGAGUUGUAAUUUGCAGAGGAUGUCUCGGGCGCGAUGCCGGUCUAAGUUCCUUGGAACAGGACGUCACAGAGGGUGAGAAUCCCGUACGUGACCGGCCGUCAACCCCGUGUGAGGCUCCUUCGACGAGUCGAGUUGUUUGGGAAUGCAGCUCUAAAUGGGUGGUAAAUUUCAUCUAAAGCUAAAUAUUGGCCAGAGACCGAUAGCGCACAAGUAGAGUGAUCGAAAGAUGAAAAGCACUUUGGAAAGAGAGUUAAACAGUACGUGAAAUUGUUGAAAGGGAAGCGCUUGCAACCAGACUUGCCCGCGGGUGAUCAGCCGUCCUUCGGGGCGGUGCACUCGCCCGCGAUCAGGCCAGUAUCGGUUUCGGCGGCCGGACAAAGGCCCCGGGAACGUGGCUCCCCUCGGGGAGUGUUAUAGCCCGGGGCGCAAUACGGCCAGCCGGGACCGAGGACCGCGCUUCGGCUAGGAUACUGGCGUAAUGGCUGUCAGCGACCCGUCUUGAAACACGGACCAAGGAGUCUAACAUUUAUGCGAGUGUUUGGGUGUCAAACCCAUGCGCGCAAUGAAAGUGAACGGAGGUGGGAACCUUUCGGGGGGCACCAUCGACCGAUCCUGAUGUCUUCGGAUGGAUUUGAGUACGAGCAUAACUGUUGGGACCCGAAAGAUGGUGAACUAUGCGUGAAUAGGGUGAAGCCAGAGGAAACUCUGGUGGAGGCUCGCAGCGGUUCUGACGUGCAAAUCGAUCGUCAAAUUUGCGUAUAGGGGCGAAAGACUAAUCGAACCAUCCACUGGCUCCGAUAGGAACGAGCAGACCAUCCUCCUGAACUUGGUAUGCUUCAUUCCUUCGCGACUAGGUGGUUAAUUGGAAAUAUACGGAAGUGUAUUUUGUAGUUCGCUUCAGCGGACGAUACCGUCAAAUGUGUGGAUUAGGAGGUCCGUCAGGGCCCCGUAAAACACGCAGCAUCCCGGAUCACUCCGGGCUGUUACAGACCAAACGACGGUGGCCGAUCCACACGACCGGUUUUAAGAUGGCCGAGACCACUUUAUCCGUAAAGGUACGUCCGGGAAAAAAUACGUUGUUUCGAUGGUAACAUCAACCCCAACUAUUUUUUGCCGGACCGGUAUGAUCGCUAGUAGCUGGUUCCUGCCGAAGUUUCCCUCAGGAUAGCAGUAACGUUUUCAGUUUUAUGAGGUAAAGCGAAUGAUUAGAGGCCUUGGGGCAGAAACUGCCUUAACCUAUUCUCAAACUUUAAAUAUGUAAGAAGUCCUUGUUACUUAGUUGAACGUGGACAUUUGAAUGCACCGUUACUAGUGGGCCAUUUUUGGUAAGCAGGAACUGGCGAUGCGGGAUGAACCGAACGUGAGGUUAAGGUGCCGGAAUAUACGCUCAUCAGACACCAUUUCGUGGUGUCGAGCC
rnacentral:rRNA from 1 species